GCAUAUCAUUAGAGGGAGGAAAAGAAAACAACAGUGAUUCCGGCAGUAGCGGCGAGCGAAGUCGGACCAGCCCCAAUGGUAAUGGCGCAAGCCAGUUGUAAGGGGAAGCGGGCAAUACUCUGAAAUGGGUAUCCACAGAGGGUGAUAGACCUUAGUGCAGACCCGUGUUGCAGAGUAGUACUGUUUGGUAGUGCAGUAUGAACGGGUGGUUGUAGACACCUAAGGCUAAAUACGAUCAAUGUACCGAUAGCGAAUAAGUACUGUAAAGGAAGCUAUCUGCUGUAGUGGCAGAGAGUGAAAUCGAGCAUGUGGAAGGCAACAUGUUGCACCCGUCUUGAAACACGGACC
rnacentral:rRNA from 1 species